rnacentral:ribozyme from 1 species
AUAAUAUUAACGAGGAAUGGUCACACAUUUUAUUUUCUACAGAGAACAACAAAUUUCUUCAAACCGAAAAACCGAAAACAAAAAAAUACCAAUACCAACAACAAAAAGUCAAUAGUACU